rnacentral:rRNA from 1 species
ACGAACGCUGGCGGCAUGCCUCACACAUGCAAGUCGAACGAGACCUUCGGGUCUAGUGGCGCACGGGUGCGUAACGCGUGGGAAUCUGCCCUUGGGUUCGGAAUAACAGUUGGAAACGACUGCUAAUACCGGAUGAUGACGUAAGUCCAAAGAUUUAUCGCCCAAGGAUGAGCCCGCGUAGGAUUAGCUAGUUGGUGAGGUAAGGGCUCACCAAGGCGACGAUCCUUAGCUGGUCUGAGAGGAUGAUCAGCCACACUGGGACUGAGACACGGCCCAGACUCCUACGGGAGGCAGCAGUGGGGAAUAUUGGACAAUGGGCGAAAGCCUGAUCCAGCAAUGCCGCGUGAGUGAUGAAGGCCUUAGGGUUGUAAAGCUCUUUUACCCGGGAUGAUAAUGACAGUACCGGGAGAAUAAGCUCCGGCUAACUCCGUG